CCUGCAAUAAAAUUACUAGAAUUUGACUUUUUUUAACGCUAAUACUAAAAUACAACUUAUUCAACUUCGGAGCGGGUCUAUAUAUGUCUAGAUAUUUUAGUUAUUAAUAUACUCAUUGAGUUCAUUUGAGCGGAUUUGGAAAAUAACUACUCAUAUAUUACCUAUUUAAGAUCGGGUACAGAUCGGAUACGAAUUGAGUAUAAAUUGGG
rnacentral:lncRNA from 1 species